rnacentral:rRNA from 1 species
UACGUAGGGGGCGAGCGUUGUCCGGAAUUAUUGGGCGUAAAGGGCGAGUAGGCGGAUAUUUAAGUCUGGUGUGAAAGGUCAGGGCUCAACCCUGAAAGUGCAUCGGAAACUGGGUAUCUUGAGGACAGGAGAGGAAAGUGGAAUUCCACGUGUAGCGGUGAAAUGCGUAGAUAUGUGGAGGAACACCAGUGGCGAAGGCGACUUUCUGGACUGUCCCUGACGCUGAGGCGCGAAAGCGUGGGGAGCAAACAGG